rnacentral:rRNA from 1 species
AGUGAACGCUGGCGGUAGGCCUAACACAUGCAAGUCGAACGGCAGCACAGUAAGAGCUUGCUCUUACGGGUGGCGAGUGGCGGACGGGUGAGGAAUACAUCGGAAUCUACUUUUUCGUGGGGGAUAACGUAGGGAAACUUACUCUAAUACCGCAUACGACCUACGGGUGAAAGCAGGGGAUCUUCGGACCUUGCGCGAUUGAAUGAGCCGAUGUCGGAUUCGCUAGUUGGCGGGGUAAAGGCCCACCAAGGCGACGAUCCGUAGCUGGUCUGAGAGGAUGAUCAGCCACACUGGAACUGAGACACGGUCCAGACUCCUACGGGAGGCCGCAGUGGGGAAUAUUGGACAAUGGGCGCAAGCCUGAUCCAGCCCUACCGCGUGGGUGAAGAAGGCCUUCGGGUUGUAAAGCCCCUUUGUUGGGAAAGAAAAGCAGCAGGUUAAUACCCCGCUGUUCUGACGGUACCCAAAGAAUAAGCACCGGCUAACUUCGUG